UAUAUACUCCCUCCAUCCGGAAAUACUUGUCGGGGGAAUGGAUGUAUCUGGAUGUGUUUUAGUUCUACAUAUAUCCAUUUUUACCCAUUUCUUCUACAAGUAUUUCCGGACGAAGGGAGUAUGCA
rfam:Triticum aestivum genome assembly, contig: Triticum_aestivum_CS42_TGACv1_scaffold_148807_2BS